rnacentral:rRNA from 1 species
UACGUAGGGCACAAGCGUUGUCCGGAAUUAUUGGGCGUAAAGAGCUCGUAGGCGGCCUGUUGCGUCCGCUGUGAAAUCCCGGGGCUUAACCCCGGGCUUGCAGUGGAUACGGGCAGGCUGGAGGCAGGCAGGGGAGAACGGAAUUCCCGGUGUAGCGGUGAAAUGCGCAGAUAUCGGGAGGAACACCGGUGGCGAAGGCGGUUCUCUGGGCCUGUACUGACGCUGAGGAGCGAAAGCGUGGGGAGCGAACAGG